GUGUCAGCAGCCGCGGUAAGACAGAGGUGCCGAGCGUUAGGCGGAAUCACUGGGCUUAAAGCGUGUGUAGGCGGAUUUGUAAGUACCUUGUGAAAUCCCACGGCUUAACCGUGGAACUGCUUGGUAUACUGCUUAUCUUGAGCCACUUAGGGGCAACCGGAACAAACGGUGGAGCGGUGAAAUGCGUAGAUAUCGUUUGGAACGCCAAUGGUGAAAACAGGUUGCUGGGAGUGUGCUGACGCUGAGACACGAAAGCCAGGGGAGCGAACGGGAUUAGAUACCCUUGUAGUCC
rnacentral:rRNA from 1 species